rnacentral:rRNA from 1 species
UAGUGACCUGCGGAGGGUCAUUA